rnacentral:sRNA from 1 species
GCGGCUUCCGGCUAUGGGUACCGCGGGCCGGAAGUGUAGCGUUGCCAUGGCGAGGGCCGGGCGCGGGGCCCGCCCCCGCAGCGCCUCAGGGAGCGCGGGGCCCACUGACCCGCGGAAGCCAGCGGACCCACUUGCGCGGCGGUCGGCGCGGGGCGCGAGGUACUGGCACACGGAUGAGGAGUCGUAGAAGAGGGGCCUGCAGAUUGUGCUCUCAGCAAGCCUGUCGUCUAGUGGAAGACACUGGCCGGGACACAGAGCCCACGUGUGGACACCGCUGUGGGUUGGUGGCAGGGGUCGAGCAGGUGCCAUCAGGCACAUGAACGGUGGAGUCUUCAAAGGUGUGAGCAGCUGCCGGAAGAGGAGGUGCUCCUGAAGACACUGCGGCCGGCCCGCCUGUGCCCUUGGUGCCCUGGCUGCCUAGAGAGCCUCACCCCUGGGCCCUGGGGCCAGGACUCCAGGACUCUGACUACCUGCCCUCCCCCAGCCUCAGCGGCUGCACCUCCUCAUUAGUACUGAUGCGCUGACCUCGGCACACAGCUGGGAGGGGUUGAGGGCUGGGUCAUGGCUGCUCCCAGGCCCCACCCAGGCUCCUGAGCCUAGAAGGUGAAAAGAGGACUCUCAGGGGCUCACAGGGGCUCUCACUGCUGGUUGGUCCUGCCCUCCCUUCCCCCUCAGCAAGGUGCCAGGAAGCUGGAACCUUGUUAUCUGGGUAAUUAGUUUCAGACCCUGGACUGAGGCCGGCCAGGUCUCGGGGCUGCCUCCCAUAGGUUGUGCACCCUGACCCCGAGAGGGAGGCGAGGCGCUGCUGGUCGACAGCUAGAGGCUGGCCUGGGGAGCAGGUUUGGGGUGCCCUCCCACACUGCCCUCCCUGCCCCGGCCCGUGCCCCCCAGGGCUGCCUGGGCCUGGUUAUUGUGUGGGGCCUCCUGACCCAGCCAAGGGCACGAAGCUCUGGGAAGGGGAUGCCCCCGAGGGUGCCAGUCCAGCUAGCUGCCCCACCCCUCAGGCCCAGCCUGGCCCCCAAGCUCCCCACUCUGGUGCCCCGAGCAGCCCUGUGGGCAAGCAGCCGCCGCCAUGGCCGAGCACCUGGAGCUGCUGGCAGAGAUGCCCAUGGUGGGCAGGAUGAGCACACAGGAGCGGCUGAAGCAUGCCCAGAAGCGGCGCGCCCAGCAGUGUUGUCCUUCUGGAGGCCGCUGCCCGAAAUGAUCUGGAAGAAGGUGAGUGUGGCUGAGCCCAGAGCAGCUCCCAGCAGACGGCCUACUCCCUGCUACCUGGGUGCCGUCUCAUGCCAAGGCUGGGGGCUGGGCCUGUCCACAGCUCCUGGGCUCCAGCCCCCAGAUCUUGCCUGGUCUCUUCAGGCUGGGUGGCCCAGGGUGCCCCCAUCAGGCAAGCCCCAAGCAGUGGGCAGCCCUGAGGUGAGCCUGUGCGGGACAGCCGUCCUUCAGGCGGGGGCUGCAUGCAGAGGGCUCCUGCUGUGAGGUGAGCUGAGGCCAUGAGUGGACCCCCAGGAGCCUGCAGAAAAACCUAGUGCGGGGCCCCACGGGAGCAGGGGUGGCCGGUAGUCAUUGCUGCUUCUUGUUAGGCUGCUCAGGAGAGCCCUGGUCUCCACCUCCGUGAAAUAGGGUGGGACCAGCCACCUCUGCGGGUGAGAGAGCCAGGCCCUGGGCAGGCACAGAGCUAUGCAGGUGGCCCCCUCUCAGUGCCUGCCCUAGGCUCUGCUUGUGACUCUCUUCUCCUCACCUGUGCCCCACGCUUGCAGCCCCAGCUGUGUGGGUUCCACUUCUGGUGCUCUGGGGUCUGGGGGGAAGAGGCACUGUGGUGGCCCUUGAGACUCCUUCCUGCCUCCCUCCGGAGCAGAGAGUAAAGAGGAGCCGGCAGUGUCUGGCCUGCAUCUUCCCAUGUGGACAGGAGCCCUCCCGGGAGGCCUGGAGGCAGAGGGAAGAGGCGGAGGGUGCCAUGGUCCACAGGGAGCUGUGGGAAGGUGGGAGCCCUCCUGCUGCACCCCAGGCACCGUCAGGGAGAACCCUGGUGACCUGGGCGAGAGCUGGGCCCGAGUUGGGAUCUUUGAUGGGGAGGGGAGUGAGAGCAGGGAUGUGCUGUGGUGGUGGGGAGCCUCAGGUCAGGUCCCAGAGGACCCAGGAGAGCUCAUGAACACAGGGCUGGCAGGUUGUCAGGGAAGAGCCGAAGGAGCUGCGGUAGCCUCCAGGCAGGGAGCUCUUCCUGGGCUGGAGGGAGGUGUGGGAUUGUUGGAGUGCUGCUCUCACACAGGAGCACGGCCUGUUCUGGGGGUCGGAGGGCUGGAGCACCACCAUGAAGGGCCUGCAGGUGGGUGGAGGCAGAGGGCUUCUGGGAGUGUGACCGGCCUGGGCCAGACAGAUGCCUGGUGCUUCUGCCCCCACCCCUGGGCUCUGGUGUGCCUCCUGCCAUCGGCACCACUGUCUUCCUUGUCCUUCCCUGGGUCCUGGGCCGAAGCACAGUUGACAGGACCUGACCAGGGGCAGGACCCUGUCCUCACCUCGCCACCUUUUUGCAGUCCGCCAGUUCCUUGGGAGUGGGGUUAGCCCUGACUUGGCCAACGAGGACGGCCUGACGGCCCUGCACCAGGUCAGCCUGCACUGGGUGUGGGCAGGGUGGGGGUUGGCCCCCGUGCUCUGGUCGCUCACGUGGCACGGUUUGCAGUGCUGCAUUGAUGAUUUCCGAGAGAUGGUGCAGCAGCUCCUGGAGGCUGGGGCCAACAUCAAUGCCUGUGACAGUGAGUGUUGGACGCCUCUGCAUGCUGCGGCCACCUGCGGCCACCUGCACCUGGUGGAGCUGCUCAUCGCCAGUGGCGCCAAUCUCCUGGCGGUCAACACCGACGGGAACAUGCCCUAUGACCUGUGUGAUGAUGAGCAGACGCUGGACUGCCUGGAGACUGCCAUGGCCGACCGUGGUAGGUGCGGCGGUGCGGCUGUGGGAGGGCUGCCGGUCGCGCUCCCUCUGAGCCUGCCGCCUCGCAGGCAUCACCCAGGACAGCAUCGAGGCCGCCCGGGCCGUGCCAGAACUGCGCAUGCUGGACGACAUCCGGAGCCGGCUGCAGGCCGGGGCAGACCUCCAUGCCCCCCUGGACCACGGGGCCACGCUGGUGAGGGCUGGGGGGUGAGGGGCACACGGGGCUGGGGGCCUCGCUACUUGGAGGUGGGGGAUGGGGCCGAAUUCAGGCCGGGCGCUUGCCUGCAGCUGCACGUCGCAGCCGCCAACGGGUUCAGCGAGGCGGCUGCCCUGCUGCUGGAACACCGAGCCAGCCUGAGCGCUAAGGACCAAGACGGCUGGGAGCCGCUGCACGCCGCGGCCUACUGGGGCCAGGUGAGUGCGGGCGGGAGCAGGUGGGAGGGGGCUUCCAGCGCAGCAGUCUGCAGCUCCGGCCUGCCGUCCACAGGUGCCCCUGGUGGAGCUGCUCGUGGCGCACGGGGCCGACCUGAACGCAAAGUCCCUGAUGGACGAGACGCCCCUUGGUGAGCUUGCGGGGCCUACCUCCACCUGGGGGAGAGGACAGGCGGGGAGGGCGCCCCUGACGCCUGCGCCCACUUCUCAGAUGUGUGCGGGGACGAGGAGGUGCGGGCCAAGCUGCUGGAGCUGAAGCACAAGCACGACGCCCUCCUGCGCGCCCAGAGCCGCCAGCGCUCCUUGCUGCGCCGCCGCACCUCCAGCGCCGGCAGCCGCGGGAAGGUGGUGAGGCGGGUGAGCCUAACCCAGCGCACCGACCUGUACCGCAAGCAGCACGCCCAGGAGGCCAUCGUGUGGCAACAGCCGCCGCCCACCAGCCCGGAGCCGCCUGAGGACAACGAUGACCGCCAGACAGGCGCAGAGCUCAGGCCGCCGCCCCCGGAGGAGGACAACCCCGAAGUGGUCAGGCCGCACAAUGGCCGAGUAGGGGGCUCCCCAGUGCGGCAUCUGUACUCCAAGCGACUAGACCGGAGUGUCUCCUACCAGCUGAGCCCCCUGGACAGCACCACCCCCCACACCCUGGUCCACGACAAGGCCCACCACACCCUGGCUGACCUGAAGCGCCAGCGAGCUGCUGCCAAGCUGCAGCGACCCCCACCUGAGGGGCCCGAGAGCCCUGAGACAGCUGAGCCUGGCCUGCCUGGUGACACGGUGACCCCCCAGCCUGACUGUGGCUUCAGGGCAGGCGGGGACCCACCCCUGCUCAAGCUCACAGCCCCGGCGGUGGAGGCUCCAGUGGAGAGGAGGCCGUGCUGCCUGCUCAUGUGAGGCUGUUGCUCAGCGUGCAGGGGCCCUGUGGCGGGCACAGCCCACGGCUGCCUCCCCAUGGUGCGUGCCCUGGUGCUACGGGUGCAGCACGGAAACCCCGGCUUCUACUGUACAGGACACUGGCCCCUCUCAGGUCAGAAGACAUGCCUGGAGGGAUGUCUGGCUGCAAAGACUAUUUUUAUCCUGCAACUCUUGAUAAAGGGCUGUUUUGCCAUGG